rnacentral:rRNA from 1 species
GAUGAACGCUAGCGGGAGGCCUAAUACAUGCAAGUCGAACGGUAACAGGUGUAGCAAUACAUGCUGACGAGUGGCGCACGGGUGAGUAACGCGUACACAACCUGCCUUAUACUGGGGCAUAGCCUUGGGAAACUAAGAUUAAUUCCCCAUAACAUUGCGAAACGGCAUCGUUUUGUAAUUAAAACUACGGUGGUAUAAGAUGGGUGUGCGUCUGAUUAGCUAGUUGGCGGGGUAACGGCCCACCAAGGCAACGAUCAGUAGCUGGUCUGA